rnacentral:rRNA from 1 species
UCUUUCCUCCCGAGUGCUUGCACUCAAUUGGAAAGAGGGGUGGCGGACGGGUGAGUAACACGUGGGUAACCUACCCAUCAGAGGGGGAUAACACUUGGAAACAGGUGCUAAUACCGCAUAACAGUUUAUGCCGCAUGGCAUAAGAGUGAAAGGCGCUUUCGGGUGUCGCUGAUGGAUGGACCCGCGGUGCAUUAGCUAGUUGGUGAGGUAACGGCUCACCAAGGCCACGAUGCAUAGCCGACCUGAGAGGGUGAUCGGCCACACUGGGACUGAGACACGGCCCAGACUCCUACGGGAGGCAGCAGUAGGGAAUCUUCGGCAAUGGACGAAAGUCUGACCGAGCAACGCCGCGUGAGUGAAGAAGGUUUUCGGAUCGUAAAACUCUGUUGUUAGAGAA